rnacentral:rRNA from 1 species
AUUGAACGCUGGCGGCAGGCCUAACACAUGCAAGUCGAGCGGAAGAAGGGAGCUUGCUCCUGGAUUCAGCGGCGGACGGGUGAGUAAUGCCUAGGAAUCUGCCUGGUAGUGGGGGAUAACGUCCGGAAACGGGCGCUAAUACCGCAUACGUCCUGAGGGAGAAAGUGGGGGAUCUUCGGACCUCACGCUAUCAGAUGAGCCUAGGUCGGAUUAGCUAGUUGGUGGGGUAAAGGCCUACCAAGGCGACGAUCCGUAACUGGUCUGAGAGGAUGAUCAGUCACACUGGAACUGAGACACGGUCCAGACUCCUACGGGAGGCAGCAGUGGGGAAUAUUGGACAAUGGGCGAAAGCCUGAUCCAGCCAUGCCGCGUGUGUGAAGAAGGUCUUCGGAUUGUAAAGCACUUUAAGUGGGGAGGAAGGGCAGUAAGUUAAUACCUUGCUGUGUUGACGGUACCAGCAGAAUAAGCACCGGCUAACUUCGUG